rnacentral:rRNA from 1 species
UUCCGGUUGAUCCUGCCGGACCUGACUGCUAUCGGAUUGAUACUAAGCCAUGCGAGUCAUUGUAGCAAUACAAGGCAGACGGCUCAGUAACGCGUAGUCAACCUAACCUAUGGAUGGGAAUAACCUCGGGAAACUGAGAAUAAUGCCCAAUAGAACACUAUACCUGGAAUGGUUUGUGUUCCAAAUGAUUUAUCGCCGUAGGAUGGGACUGCGGCCUAUCAGUUUGUUGGUGAGGUAAUGGCCCACCAAGACUAUUACAGGUACGGGCUCUGAGAGGAGUAGCCCGGAGAUGGGUACUGAGACACGGACCCAGGCCCUAUGGGGCGCAGCAGGCGAGAAAACUUUGCAAUGUGCGAAAGCACGACAAGGUUAAUCCGAGUGAUUUGUGCUAAACGAAUCUUUUGUUAGUCCUAGAAACACUAACGAAUAAGGGGUGGGCAAGUUCUGGUGUCAGCCGCCGCGGUAAAACCAGCACCUCAAGUGGUCAGGAUGAUUAUUGGGCCUAAAGCAUCCGUAGCCGGCUCUGUAAGUUUUCGGUUAAAUCUGUAUGCUCAACAUACAGGCUGCCGGGAAUACUGCAGAGCUAGGGAGUGGGAGAGGUAGACGGUACUCGGUAGGAAGGGGUAAAAUCCUUUGAUCUAUUGAUGACCACCUGUGGCGAAGGCGGUCUACCAGAACACGUCCGACGGUGAGGGAUGAAAGCUGGGGGAGCAAACCGGAUUAGAUACCCGGGUAGUCCCAGCUGUAAACUAUGCAAACUCAGUGAUGCA